GUUUUUAUAGCUUAACUAAAGCAUAGCACUGAAAAUGCUAAGAUGAGCCAUAACACAGGCCCUUAAAACA
rnacentral:tRNA from 1 species